rnacentral:rRNA from 1 species
CCAAUAGCGUAUAUUAAAGUUGUUGCAGUUAAAAAGCUCGUAGUUGAACCUCGGGGUCUACCCAUUGGUCAGGCUUAAUUGUCUGCACUGGUGAGAUGGAUCUCUACCUUCUGAGGAACUUUCAUGCCAUUUAUUUGGUGUGAUGGGAAAUCAGGACUGUUACUUUGAAAAAAUUAGCGUGUUUAAAGCAGACUAUCGUCUGAAUACAUUAGCAUGGAAUAAUGAAAUAGGACGGACUGAUUCUAUUUCGUUGGUUUCUAGGAUCACCGUAAUGAUUAAUAGGGAUAGUUGGGGGCAUUAGUAUUCAAUUGUCAGAGGUGAAAUUCUUGGAUUUAUUGAAGACUAACUACUGCGAAAGCAUUUGCCAAGGAUGUUUUCAUUAAUCAAGAACGAAAGUUAGGGGAUCGAAGACGAUCAGAUACCGUCGUAGUCUUAACCAUAAACUAUGCCGACUAGGGAUCGGACGAAGUUAAUUUUAUAAUGACGCGUUCGGCACCUUACG